rnacentral:rRNA from 1 species
UACGGAGGGGGCUAGCGUUGUUCGGAAUUACUGGGCGUAAAGCGCACGUAGGCGGCUUUGUAAGUUAGAGGUGAAAGCCCAGGGCUCAACCCUGGAAUUGCCUUUAAGACUGCAUCGCUUGAACAUCGGAGAGGUAAGUGGAAUUCCGAGUGUAGAGGUGAAAUUCGUAGAUAUUCGGAAGAACACCAGUGGCGAAGGCGACUAACUGGACAUGUAUUGACGCUGAGGUGCGAAAGCGUGGGGAGCAAACAGG